rnacentral:tRNA from 1 species
GCACUGGUGGUUCAGUGUUAGAAUUCUUGCCUUCCAUGCAGGAGAGCUGGGUUUAAUUCUCAGCUGAAACA